rnacentral:lncRNA from 1 species
UUUUUUUUUUUUUUUUUAGACUGAGUCUCCCUCUGUCACCCAGGUCAGAGUGCAGUGGUGCAAUCUCAGCUCACUUCAAACUCCGCCUCCCAGGGUCAAGUGAUUCUCCUGCCUCAGCCUCUGGAAUAGCUGGAACUACAGGCACAUGCCACCACGCCUGGCUAAUUUUUGUAUUUUUAGUAGAGACAGGUUUUCACCAUGUUGGCCAGGCUGGUCUUGAACUCCUGACCUCAAAUGAUCCACCCGCCUCAGCCUCCCAAAAUGCUGGGAUUACAGGCCACUGCACCCGGCCAAGCAUAGCAUCUUAAAGGGGAGCUUCAGAUGUUGUGACUAGGAAUAUAAACUAGUGCUGUAUCUUUAGUCUCUGGCUAAUCAUUCCUUUUGGCCCAACCACUGGGAGGCUGGGAAGUGCGGUGUUUUAGGAUGAGGGUGACAUCUGGAUGAGGGCCAGGGCUGGGAGGAAGCAGGAAGGAGGAGGGUGAGACUGACACAGCCUCCUCUUUGGGAGUUAGUCAUUCCCCCUGGCUAGUGAGAGACACCAGGAGUGGGAAGGGGAGGGGGCCAUUCUCCUGGGUCCUAGAAGUUGGUGCCAGGGCAGGCUGGGCCACCAAAGGGGAUGUUCUUAGGAAGCCCAUCAUCCUGACAGCUUUUCUAAACUCCCACCAUGCGCUGGCUCUGCUCCAUGCUUAGCCCUGCAGGGACGGGGGAGAGGAUGCCGCUUUCUGGGGGUGGAACCUGUACUCAUGAACCAUAGUAGACUGAGUGUGGUGUCCUGGUUCAGAGCACCACAGCAGCCCUGGCUAGAGUCCCACUUCACCACUCAUUGGUUCCAGGGCUUUGGGCAGGCUGUUGAAGCUCUCUGAGCCUCAAUGUCCUCAUCUGUGAAAUGGAGUCAAUAAUGCUGUCUUCUGAGGUUUAGGGUAAGGGCACAGUGGAAUGAUUUGUGUCACAUGUUUGGCACGUAGUAUCCACGCAGAAGGACUAGCGCUGGGAAGUCAGAGGCAAGAGCAAGCCAGCCCAGCCCUCCCAUCUGAGAGCCCUCCCAUCGGCCUUGCCAUACACCGUACAGAAGCCUUUUCCCAUCCGCCAGCAGGUCUGAGCCUCAUUCCAUACUUAUAAGGUGGCAGGGCAGAUGCUUAGGAAGUCCAGGGGUUGUUCACAGCCACGCAGUGAUGAAAGUGGCCUGGAACUGUGGGAGUUGGCCAGGUGAGCCUGGUACCUGCACACAGGCGAAGGAGAGGCAGUGGGGUCUGAGCCGUGUAGAGCUCCUGCUCACUCUUUGCUGGCCAGAAAGCCGGGAACAAUAGCCAGGACCAGUCCAGGGCUGGCCAGGGCAGUAGAAAAGCUCUUCAGCAGCAGGCAGAUGGCGUGACCAACCCCUCUGGCCCUCUCUCAACUCCUUGAACAAUCAAAGCCACUGCGUUCCAUCUUCCCAGAUGUACAGAAGUAGUGCCACAAAGGCCCUAGGCCCCCCAGCCUAAGGAGGGCCAGGCUCUCCCACGAGCUCCACAUCUGAUCC